rnacentral:sRNA from 1 species
GUCUUCGUCGUCACACGUGUCUAACUUCCGGACCGUUUUGAUGACGGUGCCGAAUUCGUUCUCCUCCCCGUGGAGAAGGAUCCAGUCCUGAGAUGAGUCCACUGUCGGCUCAAAGUGUCCGGUGGAGUGGCGAUCCUACAACGACAGCCAGCCUAAUCUUUCGAUGGUUAUAGCGUCGCUUUCCAGGGGCGGUGGGGAGAGUUUAGAGAGCAGUAGCAGACUCCGAAUCCCCCGGUGUGUCCCGUGGUACGGGAUGCUGGCCUCACUACUGGGGUCGUGGGGGUGGUAGGAGUAAAUGAUCUUUACGGUGUCGUCCUGAGGAAAGUAAGCAACAAAAGAUAGAUGCAUCUAUGUGGAUGUACAAUUAAAGGCAUUCGAUUUGAUCGAUUGAUCGAAACUCUAAAUUGUCACAAGUAGGAAUAUAAGGAAAGCUGUUGAAUGCCAACAAAUUAAUGUAUAAUAAUGUUAAAGCAUGACAUUGUGUUCAGUGAAUGUGAAAUGAAAUUAAGUGAUUAUUUGUUUACAUUAAUGUAUGCUGAUGGUAUGGUUCUCUUCUCUGAAUGGAUUACAAGACUGCAAACUCGUCUUCAUUAGUUUAAAUGAAUAUUGCAUGGCAUGUCUUUAUUUUGUUAUACUUUGUUUAAUAUACACACCGUGAUUUUGAAGUCCUCGUCGUCACACGUGUCCAGUUUCCUGACCAUUUUCAGCACUGUUCUGCAGUGAUCCUCCCUGGCAUAGAGGAGAUGCCAGUCCUGGGAGGCGUCUACGAUUGGCUGAGAGUGACCAACCGUGUGUCUAUCCUGAAACAAGGACAUAAUCAGGCAUCAGACUGGCACCACGGUACCAACGUCACAGAUUUCAAAUACAUCAGCUCAAAGUCUUUAAAGUCAAGGUGAGUUUGUGGUUAAGGGGCUUCACAAUGUAAUGAAGAUCUUUACGCUAUUCUUUCUUUUUGGAUAGAACAAUACCUGAAAAUGUGGAACACCGUCUUUGACCCAUCCAACAACGACGUCAGCGGGGUACAUUUUCCCGUUUGGAGACAUUCCAAAUCCGAUAUAGCCUUUUGUCUCAACGUGGACUUCAAAGAUAAUGUGUGUUUUAUUAACGUUCCAAAAGAGAACAUAUUUGCCAUCCGCAGCUAGGCUCUCUUGAAAAUCAAAUUGUUCUGUUGGCAAUGGAGCCCCACACACUGCCGUUUUUGGAUGUGAUGACGUCAUUGGUGGCGUCACCGAUGGGCACAUGGAUGGCGGUUCUACAUAGGGAGUUUGAGGUAUCAACAUGGGAAGCUCUUGAUGCGUGUACUAUAAAAUAAAAACGCUCUUCAAUU